rnacentral:miRNA from 1 species
AGUGCCGCCAGGGUUUGAGUGU